rnacentral:rRNA from 1 species
UUUCACGAUUGGCGGUACCAUGUAACGUUUACACCAAUGGAUUUGGGGCUAUUUUAACGGUUGUCGGUAAUUCGUUAUUUAUUCGUCGUUGGUGCAUGCACGUAUGUAUCCUACCACUUGACCUAUGUUCACGAUUCUUUUGUGAAUCAGCGGGCAGACCGCUGUUUGCGGCCGGAGGCCGUCGUGCGGCAACGGCAGCUACUGCGCCCGUGACAGUAUUUGGAGACCGAGGGACUAUUACUGCUACGUGGCCUGUCCUUCGUCUUCGUCGCCUUCUUCGUGGUCGGGCACCACGAGCACGUGCCGAAGCGGCCGCUGCCGUAAUACUGCACCCACGAGGUCCACUCGCGGGAGCGGUUAGCACCGAUGCUGCACAUGCAGGGGCUGGACCACGUGAAGCCGCCGAGGUGUAGCGGCAACGGUCUGGCGAGGCACCGGAAGGUCCGUGCCACGGAACGCCGCCGAGAUGCCUUCGAACCUCAGCCAUGCCGGCUGCACCACCCGACCUCGAUGCCGCCCAAGCAUCGUAAGCUCGACCGCCGGCACGUAGGCCUGGUCCAGGCGAGGCAGCAGCGGAGGCCGUCGUGGCAGUUCAUGUGAUCGCGGUACUCCCUACUGAACGACUCCUCCGAACCGACCCGGGUUAGCGACUGCCUCGAGAACCACGGCCUCAGCCAACCGGUCGAGUCCAACGACAAGAGGUUGCGGUACGUGUACUUCGGCACCAAAGGCCUAGCGGAAGAGUCCCUGAAAGAAUUCCACUACAUAAAGUUGGUUUUCCUCUCUCGACUCUACUAUCUUCUAUAUCAGGAGCCCCUGUGUCUUCGUAAACGGGGACAAAAAGUCGUCUCGUAUGAGGACAACACCCCACUUUUACUGUUGUACACCGGGUAUCUCCUACGACUCACAGACUUUGUGUUCGAUCCCCUCUUCCGCUUGGACGCUGCGUAUUCGUUUCGUCCCGUAGAACAUGUUGACCUCUCCGGUACACAGAAGUUGGCGUUGGAGUAUCUCAAGGACCGAGUACCGUUGUGUGCGAGGAGAACUCACGCGGUACCUAGUAGUACUAGCAUGGAUUUUCUAUACAGUUUGAGUAACUAGUAGUAUCCCACGUGAAUGGUCUACAGGACUGUACUAUAUAUAAACAUACAUAUGGGGUCAGAUAUGAGUACAUAUGGAUGAUUAUU